rnacentral:rRNA from 1 species
GGUUAAGUUAGAAAGGGCGCACGGUGGAUGCCUUGACACUAGGAGUCGAUGAAGGACGGGACUAACGCCGAUAUGCUUCGGGGAGCUGUAAGUAAGCUUUGAUCCGAAGAUUUCCGAAUGGGGAAACCCACCAUACGUAAUGGUAUGGUAUCCUUAUCUGAAUACAUAGGGUAAGGAAGACAGACCCAGGGAACUGAAACAUCUAAGUACCUGGAGGAAGAGAAAGCAAAUGCGAUUUCCUGAGUAGCGGCGAGCGAAACGGAAUCUAGCCCAAACCAAGAGGCUUGCCUCUUGGGGUUGUAGGACAUUCUAUACGGAGUUACAAAGGAACGAGGUAGACGAAGCAGUCUGGAAAGGCUCGUCACAGAGGGUAACAACCCCGUAGUCGAAACUUCGUUCUCUCUUGAAUGUAUCCUGAGUACGGCGGAACACGUGAAAUUCCGUCGGAAUCCGGGAGGACCAUCUCCCAAGGCUAAAUACUCCCUAGUGAUCGAUAGUGAACCAGUACCGUGAGGGAAAGGUGAAAAGCACCCCGGAAGGGGAGUGAAAGAGAUCCUGAAACCGUGUGCCUACAAAUAGUCAGAGCCCGUUAACGGGUGAUGGCGUGCCUUUUGUAGAAUGAACCGGCGAGUUACGAUCCCGUGCGAGGUUAAGCUGAAGAGGCGGAGCCGUAGCGAAAGCGAGUCUGAAUAGGGCGUUUAGUACGUGGUCGUAGACCCGAAACCAGGUGAUCUACCCAUGUCCAGGGUGAAGUUCAGGUAACACUGAAUGGAGGCCCGAACCCACGCACGUUGAAAAGUGCGGGGAUGAGGUGUGGGUAGCGGAGAAAUUCCAAUCGAACCUGGAGAUAGCUGGUUCUCCCCGAAAUAGCUUUAGGGCUAGCCUCAAGUGUUAGAGUCUUGGAGGUAGAGCACUGAUUGGACUAGGGGUCCUCAUCGGAUUACCGAAUUCAGUCAAACUCCGAAUGCCAAUGACUUAUCCUUGGGAGUCAGACUGCGAGUGAUAAGAUCCGUAGUCAAAAGGGAAACAGCCCAGACCGCCAGCUAAGGUCCCAAAGUGUGUAUUAAGUGGAAAAGGAUGUGGAGUUGCUUAGACAACUAGGAUGUUGGCUUAGAAGCAGCCACCAUUUAAAGAGUGCGUAAUAGCUCACUAGUCGAGUGACUCUGCGCCGAAAAUGUACCGGGGCUAAAUACACCACCGAAGCUGCGGAUUGAUACUUACGUAUCAGUGGUAGGGGAGCGUUCUAAGGACAGUGAAGUCAGACCGGAAGGACUGGUGGAGUGCUUAGAAGUGAGAAUGCCGGUAUGAGUAGCGAAAGACGGGUGAGAAUCCCGUCCACCGAAUGCCUAAGGUUUCCUGAGGAAGGCUCGUCCGCUCAGGGUUAGUCAGGACCUAAGCCGAGGCCGACAGGCGUAGGCGAUGGACAACAGGUUGAUAUUCCUGUACCACCUCUUUAUCGUUUGAGCAAUGGAGGGACGCAGAAGGAUAGAAGAAGCGUGCGAUUGGUUGUGCACGUCCAAGCAGUUAGGCUG